rnacentral:rRNA from 1 species
UAGGGAAUCUUCGGCAAUGGGGGGAACCCUGACCGAGCAACGCCGCGUGAGUGAAGAAGGUUUUCGGUUCGUAAAGCUCUGUUGUUAAGGAAGAACGAGUGUGAGAAUGGAAAGUUCAUGCUGUGACGGUACUUAACCAGAAAGGGACGGCUAACUACGUGCCAGCAGCCGCGGUAAUACGUAGGUCCCGAGCGUUGUCCGGAUUUAUUGGGCGUAAAGCGAGCGCAGGCGGACUAGCCAGUCAGUCUUAAAAGUUCGGGGCUUAACCCCGUGAUGGGAUUGAAACUACUAGUCUAGAGUAUCGGAGAGGAAAGUGGAGUUCCUAGUGUAGCGGUGAAAUGCGUAGAUAUUAGGAAGAACACCAGUGGCGAAGGCGACUUUCUGGACGAACACUGACGCUGAGGCGCGAAAGCCAGGGGAGCGAACGGG